rnacentral:rRNA from 1 species
UACAGAGGUCCCGAGCGUUGUACGGAUUCACUGGGCGUAAAGGGUGCGUAGGUGGUGAGGUAAGUCGGAUGUGAAAUCUCCGGGCUCAACCCGGAAAUGGCAUUGGAAACUACCUUGCUGGAGGAUUUGAGGGGGAUUGGAAGUACUUGGUGUAGCAGUGAAAUGCGUAGAUAUCAAGUGGAACACCAGUGGCGAAGGCGAAUCCCUGGAAAAUACCUGACACUGAGGCACGAAAGCUAGGGGAGCAAACAGG